GAACUUAAGCAUAUCAAUAAGCGGAGGAAAAGAAACUAACAAGGAUUCCCUCAGUAACUGCGAGUGAAGUGGGAAAAGCUCAAAUUUGAAAUCUGGCAGCUCUUUCAGGUUGUCCGAGUUGUAAUCUAGAGAAGCGUUACCUGUGUUGGACCGUGUAAAAGUCUUCUGGAAUGGAGCAUCAUAGAGGGUGAGAAUCCCGUCUUUGACAUGGACUACCAGCAUGCCAAGGUGCACUCUCAAAGAGUCGAGUUGUUUGGGAAUGCAGCUCAAAAUGGGUGGUAAAUGCCAUCUAAAGCUAAAUAUUGGCGAGAGACCGAUAGCGAACAAGUACCGUGAGGGAAAGAUGAAAAGAACUUUGGAAAGAGAGUUAAACAGUACGUGAAAUUGCUGAAAGGGAAACGCUUAAAGUCAGUCGCAUUAGCUGGAAAUCAGGCUUGCUUUUGCAAGGUGCACUUUCUAGUUGAUGGGUCAGCAUCAAUUUUAAUCGUUGGAUAAAGUCAUUGGGAAUGUGGCAUCUUUGGAUGUGUUAUAGCCCAGUGUUGAAUAUAGCGGUCAGGAUUGAGGAAUUCAGCAUGCCUCUAGGGGCCAGGUUUCGACCAUGUUCAUGCUUAGGAUGCUGGCAUAAUGGCUUUAAUCGACCCGUCUUGAAACACGGACCAAGGAGUCUAACAUGCCUGCGAGUGUUUGGGUGAAAAACCCAUACGCACAAUGAAAGUGAAAGUUGAGAUCCUUAGGGAGCAUUGACGCCCGGACCAGACCUUCUGUGACGGAUCCGCGGUAGAGCAUGUAUGUUGGGACCCGAAA
rnacentral:rRNA from 1 species